AAUUGAGUGGUUUCAUAGUAGAUGUGUGAAACAGUAACCCUCAUCAUUCAAACAAUCAUAACUCUAAAUGUAUCAAACUAUUAACUAAAAUUAAUAUCUUAAGGGAGCUGCAACAACCAUUUAUUGUAAAGUAGAAUGUAAAAUCCAAUUAUUCCAAUCUCUAAUAGUGAGUAGUGAGUGACCUAUAGGCUAUAGCCAAUAAUGUUUCCUCAUCUCUCAAUCCAACAGGUAUUAAGAAAUAUUUACCAGUUUUCCGCUCCACAUUACCGAACACCUACUACUCACCAGUUACCACUCGAUGCAUUCAUUGCACUCAGCGAUACUUCAGCCGACCAAACUUCAGACUCAUCGCCUUCAUAAAUCAUAAUAAUAAGAAGAAUAAUGUAAUUAUUUGAACACACCUUCCAUAUUUCUGGAAAUCGACGACCACUUUCUGCAUCGCCAUACAAAGUCGUCGACAUAAUCACAAUUUGUCGAUAAUGUGAUUUUUAUUACAUUUUAAUGUAUUUGGCUUUGCGAUGAGGCUCCACAAUUAAAGUUGCUCAAUGACCGCCAUGGGCAACGUACCGUUUUCAUCGCAGUCAAAAUGUUGAUUAAUUUAAUAACGGACCAUAUAUUUAAUUAAAAAACAAAUUUAAAACAAAAAUGUACAAUAUAUUGUAUAAUAUCAGCGAUAUCAUACAUUUCAUAUUUUAUCUGAUAAAGUUAUAAAUUGUAUAAGGUUAUAACUAUAAUAAAACCUAAAUUUUGAAUUAAUGAUCAAGUAUAAUAAAUUGUCAUUAUUAAAUUAGUGGGGGUAUAAUCACUAUAAUAAUCAAUUAUUUACCAAUACAUCAUACUACAUGAGCGACUAUUUGUCAUAUUUAAACUUUUCAGGUCUCUCGAUAUACCUAACCUAAAUGCAAUUUUUUAUCUUGUGGCAUAGGUACUUGAGAGUUGAGGACUGAGAUGGAGUUGCAUAGUAAAUCGAGAAAUAGGUAUAUACGUUUUUAAUUGUGUUUUAUACGAAAAAAGUACAUAAAAUCAAUUAUACUUUGAUGGCAUCAAUAAUAGUAAAAUAUGAAUGUACUAUCG